rnacentral:rRNA from 1 species
GAUUAAGUUAUUAAGGGCGCACGGUGGAUGCCUUGGCACUAGAAGCCGAUGAAGGACGUUACUAACGACGAUAUGCUUUGGGGAGCUGUAAGUAAGCUUUGAUCCAGAGAUUUCCGAAUGGGGAAACCCAGCAUGAGUUAUGUCAUGUUAUCGAUAUGUGAAUACAUAGCAUAUCAGAAGGCACACCCGGAGAACUGAAACAUCUUAGUACCCGGAGGAAGAGAAAGAAAAUUCGAUUCCCUUAGUAGCGGCGAGCGAAACGGGAAGAGCCCAAACCAACAAGCUUGCUUGUUGGGGUUGUAGGACACUCUAUACGGAGUUACAAAGGACGACAUUAGACGAAUCAUCUGGAAAGAUGAAUCAAAGAAGGUAAUAAUCCUGUAGUCGAAAAUGUUGUCUCUCUUGAGUGGAUCCUGAGUACGACGGAGCACGUGAAAUUCCGUCGGAAUCUGGGAGGACCAUCUCCUAAGGCUAAAUACUCUCUAGUGACCGAUAGUGAACCAGUACCGUGAGGGAAAGGUGAAAAGCACCCCGGAAGGGGAGUGAAAUAGAACCUGAAACCGUGUGCUUACAAGUAGUCAGAGCCCGUUAAUGGGUGAUGGCGUGCCUUUUGUAGAAUGAACCGGCGAGUUACGAUUUGAUGCAAGGUUAAGCAGUAAAUGUGGAGCCGUAGCGAAAGCGAGUCUGAAUAGGGCGUUUAGUAUUUGGUCGUAGACCCGAAACCAGGUGAUCUACCCUUGGUCAGGUUGAAGUUCAGGUAACACUGAAUGGAGGACCGAACCGACUUACGUUGAAAAGUGAGCGGAUGAACUGAGGGUAGCGGAGAAAUUCCAAUCGAACCUGGAGAUAGCUGGUUCUCUCCGAAAUAGCUUUAGGGCUAGCCUCAAGUGAUGAUUAUUGGAGGUAGAGCACUGUUUGGACGAGGGGCCCCUCUCGGGUUACCGAAUUCAGACAAACUCCGAAUGCCAAUUAAUUUAACUUGGGAGUCAGAACAUGGGUGAUAAGGUCCGUGUUCGAAAGGGAAACAGCCCAGACCACCAGCUAAGGUCCCAAAAUAUAUGUUAAGUGGAAAAGGAUGUGGCGUUGCCCAGACAACUAGGAUGUUGGCUUAGAAGCAGCCAUCAUUUAAAGAGUGCGUAAUAGCUCACUAGUCGAGUGACACUGCGCCGAAAAUGUACCGGGGCUAAACAUAUUACCGAAGCUGUGGAUUGUCCUUUGGACAAUGGUAGGAGAGCGUUCUAAGGGCGUUGAAGCAUGAUCGUAAGGACAUGUGGAGCGCUUAGAAGUGAGAAUGCCGGUGUGAGUAGCGAAAGACGGGUGAGAAUCCCGUCCACCGAUUGACUAAGGUUUCCAGAGGAAGGCUCGUCCGCUCUGGGUUAGUCGGGUCCUAAGCUGAGGCCGACAGGCGUAGGCGAUGGAUAACAGGUUGAUAUUCCUGUACCACCUAUAAUCGUUUUAAUCGAUGGGGGGACGCAGUAGGAUAGGCGAAGCGUGCGAUUGGAUUGCACGUCUAAGCAGUAAGGCUGAGUAUUAGGCAAAUCCGGUACUCGUUAAGGCUGAGCUGUGAUGGGGAGAAGACAUUGUGUCUUCGAGUCGUUGAUUUCACACUGCCGAGAAAAGCCUCUAGAUAGAAAAUAGGUGCCCGUACCGCAAACCGACACAGGUAGUCAAGAUGAGAAUUCUAAGGUGAGCGAGCGAACUCUCGUUAAGGAACUCGGCAAAAUGACCCCGUAACUUCGGGAGAAGGGGUGCUCUUUAGGGUUAACGCCCAGAAGAGCCGCAGUGAAUAGGCCCAAGCGACUGUUUAUCAAAAACACAGGUCUCUGCUAAACCGUAAGGUGAUGUAUAGGGGCUGACGCCUGCCCGGUGCUGGAAGGUUAAGAGGAGUGGUUAGCUUCUGCGAAGCUACGAAUCGAAGCCCCAGUAAACGGCGGCCGUAACUAUAACGGUCCUAAGGUAGCGAAAUUCCUUGUCGGGUAAGUUCCGACCCGCACGAAAGGCGUAACGAUUUGGGCACUGUCUCAACGAGAGACUCGGUGAAAUCAUAGUACCUGUGAAGAUGCAGGUUACCCGCGACAGGACGGAAAGACCCCGUGGAGCUUUACUGUAGCCUGAUAUUGAAAUUCGGCACAGCUUGUACAGGAUAGGUAGGAGCCUUUGAAACGUGAGCGCUAGCUUACGUGGAGGCGCUGGUGGGAUACUACCCUAGCUGUGUUGGCUUUCUAACCCGCACCACUUAUCGUGGUGGGAGACAGUGUCAGGCGGGCAGUUUGACUGGGGCGGUCGCCUCCUAAAAGGUAACGGAGGCGCUCAAAGGUUCCCUCAGAAUGGUUGGAAAUCAUUCAUAGAGUGUAAAGGCAUAAGGGAGCUUGACUGCGAGACCUACAAGUCGAGCAGGGUCGAAAGACGGACUUAGUGAUCCGGUGGUUCCGCAUGGAAGGGCCAUCGCUCAACGGAUAAAAGCUACCCCGGGGAUAACAGGCUUAUCUCCCCCAAGAGUUCACAUCGACGGGGAGGUUUGGCACCUCGAUGUCGGCUCAUCGCAUCCUGGGGCUGUAGUCGGUCCCAAGGGUUGGGCUGUUCGCCCAUUAAAGCGGUACGCGAGCUGGGUUCAGAACGUCGUGAGACAGUUCGGUCCCUAUCCGUCGUGGGCGUAGGAAAUUUGAGAGGAGCUGUCCUUAGUACGAGAGGACCGGGAUGGACAUACCUCUGGUGUACCAGUUGUCGUGCCAACGGCAUAGCUGGGUAGCUAUGUGUGGACGGGAUAAGUGCUGAAAGCAUCUAAGCAUGAAGCCCCCUCAAGAUGAGAUUUCCCAACUUCGGUUAUAAGAUC